AAGUCGUAACAAGGUUUCCGUAGGUGAACCUGCGGAAGGAUCAUUAACGAGUAACUGAACGGGUUGUAGCUGGCCUCUCGGGGCAUGUGCACACCUGGCUCAUCCACUCUUCAACCUCUGUGCACUUGUUGUAGGUCGGCAGAAGGGCGAGCCUUAAAACAGCUCGCUUGGAAGCCUUCCUAUGUUUUACCACAAACGCUUCAGUUUAAGAAUGUAACCUGCGUAUGACGCAACUAUAUACAACUUUCAGCAACGGAUCUCUUGGCUCUC
rnacentral:misc_RNA from 1 species